GGUCAAGCGAACAAGGGCGCAGGGCGAAUGCCUUGGCACUGGGAGCCGAUGAAAGACGUGAUAAGCUGCGAUAAGCUUCGGGGAGCUGCAAAUAAGCAUUGAUCCGGAGAUUUCUGAAUGAGGAAACUCACCUGGGUUCAUACUCAGGUACAAUACACUGAAAUUCAAAAUAGGUGUAUUGAGGGAACCG
rnacentral:ncRNA from 1 species